UACGUAGGGGGGCAAGCGUUGUCCGGAUUUAUUGGGCGUAAAGAGCGUGUAGGCGGUUUGGUAGGUCCGCUGUGAAAACUCGAGGCUCAACCUCGAGACGCCGGUGGAAACCAUCAGACUAGAGUCCGGAAGAGGAGAGUGGAAUUCCUGGUGUAGCGGUGAAAUGCGCAGAUAUCAGGAAGAACACCCGUGGCUAAGGCGGCUCUCUAGUACGGUACUGACGCUGAGACGCGAAAGCGUGGGGAGCGAACAGG
rnacentral:rRNA from 1 species